AAUCUAUCUAUUGCUGCUAAUCUAUCACUGCUAAUCUAUUGCUGCUAAUCUAUUGCUGUCAAUCUAUCUACUGCUGUCAAUCUAUCUACUGCUGUCAAUCUAUCUACUGCUGCCAAUCUAUCUACUGCUGUCAAUCUAUCUACCGCUGUCAAUCUAUCUACCACUGUCAAUCUAUCUAUUGCUGCUAAUCUAUUGCUGCUAAUCUAUUGCUGCUAAUCUAUUGCUGCUAAUCUAUCACUGCUAAUCUAUUGCUGCUAAUCUAUUGCUGCUAAUCUAUUGCUGCCAAUCUAUCUACUGCUGCCAACCUACCUACCACUGCUAAUCUAUCACUGCUGCCAAUCUAUAUAGAGUAAAUCAUGAUCCCAUUUGAUCCCAUUUUAUAAAAUGGGAUCAAAUGGAAUCAGAAUCACUAAUUUAUUAGUAAAAUAUGAUCUGGGACU
rnacentral:sRNA from 2 species